rnacentral:misc_RNA from 1 species
UUGAAAGCUUCGGCUUACUUUUGAUGUUUUAAAACCCUUAUGUUGACUAUACCAAUACAAAAAUCUUUUGUAACAAGCUGUGUCUGUCUGAAAACAUAAGAUAAUAUUAUA